AUGGCGGAUAGUUCUGCUUCGCUAAGAAUGGACCUUAACUCUGUUCCGGUCAUUCAAGAAGAGGAAGAUCCGCCUGGUGAUUUAUCUCUUCAGCAACAUAGCCAGCAAGCCAGGAUAAUACCAGAUCUGGAGCUCAAUAUGCAAGCAUUAAGUUUAUCAGCGCCAACAGUUUACAAUCUGGAAGCUGGUCAAACAGAGCAAAAUCAGGAGAUUCAGGAGACCUACAUGCUACUGAUGAAAGUGGCAUGUACAGCAGGGUCCCCAAGGGUGAUUUCGGAACACACGGUCAGUCAGGCAAUGGCAAGGGCUUGGAGGCAACACUUUUAUGCAAUAUCUCAGGUAUCUACCAAUCUAUUCAUGGCAUAUUUCAGUACUCAAGAGGAUAUGAUGUUUGUUUUUACCCGCCAGCCGUGGAUGAUGGGUUCAGAUAAUUUACUUCUAGAGUGGGUGGAUCCUAAUGAUGAGGACAAAACAAGAGAGGAUUACAAAUUUGAUCAUAUCUAUGUCACUAUAAGAGCCUAUGGAGUGCCAAAGGAAGCUAGAUCACUGAAGCUUUUAAAGGACAUUCUUCAGACUGUAGGUGAACCAUCAGAGUUCCAUCCACUUCAGACCAAUAUGAUUUUUUCCAGGGCAGAAUACAUUUGGGGCAUGGCAAAAGUAAAGGUUAUGCAAAAGGUGAUAGAUAAAAUUAGUCUUACUCUGCCUGACAAAUCCACCACCAUGGUCUAUUUGCAUUAUGAGAAGAUAGGAAGAAUUUGCUUGUUCUGUGGUAUCAUGUUCCAUAAUGCCCAGCAUUGCCCUAUCAGAAAUGAACUGAUCAUGGAAAGAACCAAGUACAACAUGCCGGUUAAUGAUAUACCUUUUGUUAGAUAUGGAGAAUGGCUGUUAGACCCCAAUCUGAUUCCUAAACAAACUAUGAGGCCAAGAAAGGAAGGUACAUCAAUUCUAAGCAGGUUCCAGAAAAUGUUCAGUGAUGAAGUUCAAGGGAAAGGCUUCAUCCAAGGGAAAACUUGUAAUACUUCUGUUCUUCAUUUACCAGCAAAUUAUCAGUCAGCUAAGGAGAAUCAGGUGCAAACACAACAAGCAGUAAAUCUUCUGGUUUCGGAGAGAUUGCAGCGACAAAGAAACAUAAGACAAGGAUUCGGAGUGCAUAGCAUUAACACGAACGCACAACAGAUUGAAGCCAGUAAAAGAAGUAUGAAUAAUCCAGAAGAGAGACCGGAAAACAACCAAACUGGAGACCUGCAUGGGGAAAAAAUGGACAUACUGCCAUAUACAAUUUCAGAGGAAUGUAGAGCGACACAAACACUACAGAAAAAGAACAUAUAUGAAACAAGUAUGGGAUUGCAGCAAGUACAGAACAACCUGAAUAAGAAGGCUCUAGUCCAAAGGAAACCGCUUAAUGAUUCGUCCUAA
rnacentral:rRNA from 1 species